rnacentral:rRNA from 1 species
ACGAACGCUGGCGGCGUGCUUAACACAUGCAAGUCGAACGGAAAGGCCCUGCUUGCAGGGUCCUCGAGUGGCGAACGGGUGAGUAACACGUGGGUGAUCUGCCCUGCACUUCGGGAUAAGCCUGGGAAACUGGGUCUAAUACCGGAUAGGAGCCAUUUUUAGUGUGAUGGUUGGAAAGUUUUUUCGGUGUAGGGUGAGCUCGCGGCCUAUCAGCUUGUUGGUGGGGUAAUGGCCUACCAAGGCGGCGGCGGGUAGCCGGCCUGAGAGGGUGGACGGCCACAUUGGGACUGAGAGACGGCCGAGACUCCGACGGGAGGGAGCAGUGGGGAAUAUUGCACAAUGGGCGCAAGCCUGAUGCAGCGACGCCGCGUGGGGGAUGACGGCCUUCGGGUUGUAAACUCCUUUCGCUAGGGACGAAGCUUUUUGUGACGGUACCUAGAUAAGAAGCACCGGCUAACUACGUG